UAAGGUGCAUCUAGUGCAGA
rnacentral:ncRNA from 4 species